CUGUGGGGCCACAGAAGGCAGGAUCGGUGCUGACCUCCACCAUGGCCUGGUCCUUUCUCCUCCUCACCCUCCUCGCUCACUGCACAGGGUCCUGGGCUCAGUCUGUGCUGACUCAGCCGCCCUCCGUGUCGGGGUCCCUGGGCCAGAGGGUCACCAUCUCCUGCACUGGAAGCAGCUCCAACAUCGGGCGUGGUAAUUAUGUGAGCUGGUACCAACAACUCUCAGGAACAGCUCCCAAACUCCUCAUCUAUCGUAAUAGCAAUCGACCCUCGGGGGUCCCAGAUCGAUUUUCUGGCUCCAAGUCUGGCAGCACGGGCUCCUUGACCAUCACUGGGCUGCAGGCUGAGGACGAGGCUGAUUAUUACUGCUCAGCAUGGGACAGCAGUCUCAGUGCUUAUUUGUUCGGCGGAGGGACCCAUCUGACCGUCCUCGGUCAGCCCAAGUCGGCCCCCUCGGUCACACUCUUCCCACCCUCCAAUGAGGAGCUCAGCGCCAACAAGGCCACCCUGGUGUGCCUCAUCAGUGACUUCUACCCCAGUGGCUUGACGGUGGCCUGGAAGGCAGAUGGCACCCCCGUCACCCAGGGCGUGGAGACCACCAAGCCCUCCAAACAGAGCAACAACAAGUACGCGGCCAGCAGCUACCUGAGCCUGUCACCGAACCAGUGGAAAUCUCGCGGCAGAUUCACCUGCCAGGUCACGCACGAGGGGAGCACUGUGGAGAAGAGUGUGGUCCCCGCAGAGUGUUCUUAGGUCCCCGAGACUGUCAGGGAUGGAGGCCUUCCUCACCCAGAUACACCUUCCCCAGCUCACCAUGUACCCCUGAGAGCCAACUCCUGGAUCAGCUCAGACCAGGAAGGUCACACACCCUCCCGGUUUCUAUUUGUGCUCAAUAAAGAACUUAUCGUUUAUCAUUCAACA